rnacentral:tRNA from 2 species
ACUAGGGUGGCAGAACAUGGACAUGCUAAAGACCUAAGCCCUUUAAACAGAGGUUCAAAUCCUCUCCCUAAUU